AAUAAGUGCAGUUUUAGCACUGCUCAUGUUCAACGUUUAACCGUUCGUAUUAUUUAAAAAAAGAUUAUGAUUAGUAUUUUUAUUAUUACUAGAUGAUAAAACAUGAAUAGUAUUUUAUGUGUGACUAAUUUUUUUAAUAUUUUUUAUAAUUUUUUUAAAUAAGAUGGAUGGUCAAAGCGCUAAAUACGGAUAUUUAUGGCUGCACUUAUU
rfam:Oryza barthii chromosome 7, whole genome shotgun sequence.